rnacentral:rRNA from 1 species
CCUACGGGAGGCAGCAGUGAGGAAUAUUGCACAAUGGGGGAAACCCUGAUGCAGCGACGCCGCGUGAGUGAAGAAGUAUUUCGGUACGUAAAGCUCUAUCAGCAGGGAAGAAAAAAAGUCCUUUGGACUUUGGACGGUACCUGACCAAGAAGCCCCGGCUAACUACGUCCCAGCAGCCGCGGUAAUACGUAGGGGGCAAGCAUUAUCCGGAGUUACUGGGUGUAAAGGGAGCGUAGACGGCUGUGCAAGUCUGAAGUGAAAGGCCAGGGCUCAACCCUGGGACUGCUGUGGAAACUGUGGAGCUAGAGUGCUGGAGAGGUAAGUGGAAUUCGUAGUGUAGCGGUGAAAUGCGUAGAUAUUAGGAGGAACACCAGUGGCGAAGGCGGCUUACGGGACAGUAACUGACGUUGAGGCUCGAAAGCGUGGGGAGCAAACAGGAUUAGAUACCCGGGUAGUC